rnacentral:rRNA from 1 species
AUGGCUAUGGAGUUUCCCGUCUCUCCGGUAGACAAGCUGCCAAUCUUCCCCGACGAGGCGGCAAGCGAUGCGGCCCUAAUGGAGUUGAUUGGUGCCGCCUGCGGCGGAGACGAUGAAUCGGCCAAUGGAUCCCGCGGGGGUUUGGUCGGCGGAGUUGGCCAUGGGUCAUAUGAGCAGAUCCUGAACGGAGGGAUGCGCAGUGAGGAGAGAACUGUAGCUGGUGGUGGCGCCGCCGUGCCUGGGUUCAGCGAGAGCGAGGGUGACAAUGAAGAAGCUCUUGACCAGGCGGAGCUAGGAGCAUACUUUGAUGAAGACCAGGAAGCUGUAAUUCAGGAUCGAACUCACAGUGCUGAUGGAGGUUCUGCUCAAUCCACAGGCAAGGUCGAUCCGCAAGCACCUGGCUGA